UGACUAGAGCAAGGAGGUCACACCUGUUCCCAUGCCGAACACAGAAGUUAAGCUACUUAGCGUCGAUUGUAGUCGAACUUCCGUUCCGCGAGAGUAGAACGUUGCCAGGC
rnacentral:rRNA from 1 species